GGGGGAGGGGAAGGGGGGUCCUCCAGGGUCAUAGAGUUGAGGGGUGGGGGUCCUCCAAGGGCAUAGAGAUGAGGGUGGGGGUCCUCCAGGGUCAUAGAGAUGAGGGGUGGGGGUCCUCCAGGGUCAUAGAGUUGAGGGUCGGGGGGUCCUCCAGGGUCAUAGAGUUGAGGGGUGGGGGUCCUCCAGGGUCAUAGAGAUGAGGGUGGGGGUCCUCCAGGGUCAUAGAGAUGAGGGGUGGGGGUCCUCCAAGGGCAUAGAGAUGAGGGGUGGGGGUCCUCCAAGGGCAUAGAGAGUGGGGGGGGUCCUCCAGGGUCAUAGAGAUGAGGGUCGGGGGGUCCUCCAGGGUCAUAGAGUUGAGGGGUGGGGGUCCUCCAGGGGCAUAGAGUUGAGGGUCGGGGGGUCCUCCAGGGUCAUAGAGUUGAGGGGUGGGGGUCCUCCAAGGGCAUAGAGAUGAGGGUGGGGGUCCUCCAAGGGCAUAGAGAUGAGGGGUGGCGGUCCUCCAAGGUCAUAGAGAUGAGGGUGGGGGUCCUCCAGGGUCAUAGAGUUGAGGGGUGGGGGUCCUCCAGGGUCAUAGAGAUGAGGGUGGGGGUCCUCCAGGGUCAUAGAGAUGAGGGGUGGGGGUCCUCCAAGGGCAUAGAGAUGAGGGUGGGGGUCCUCCAAGGGCAUAGAGUUAAUGGGGGAGGGGAAGGGGGGUCCUCCAAGGGCAUAGAGAUGAGGGUGGGGGGGUCCUCCAAGGGCAUAGAGUUGAGGGUUGGGGGGGUAAGAAGGGCCCCCAUUCAUCCCUAUGGGGUCCCAUUGACCCCCAUUGCCCCCCAUUGCCCCCCAUUGCCCCCCAUUCUCCCCCAUUG
ensembl:lncRNA